rnacentral:lncRNA from 1 species
UUACCCGUCUGACUCAGAAAGGCACCAAGUUCGUUUGGAGCGAGGAGUGCGACCGGAGUUUUAAAGAGUUGAAGGAAAGGCUAACUUCGACUCCAGUACUCGCUUUACCUGUAAGGAAGUGAAUUCUCGAAAUUCGAGAGUUGUACUUCAUCCAGGAUCGACUAAUUGUCGAGAGAAUACCCUUUGGGGAAGUUAAAGAUGUCCAAAACACAAAAAGUGCUUUGGAGUUGAGUCCACGAGAGCUAAUGGUGCAAACANACUCUGUCCGCAUGCAGGGGAAACCCUGUCCGUUCGGCGGUCUGUUGGCGUGCCCGAAUCCGACCAAAGAGGCGGGCUCGGGGCGUGACAGCGAAGAAUCUCGCUUUUGAUGUUACCCAGCAAACACCCCUAUGGCGGGAUAUGAAACGACUGGAUCUCGAAGUGGUUCCUCCCGAGAUUCCAGCCCAGUUGAUGGCACUCGUCGUCCAACCGACCUUGUUGGAGAGGAUUAAAGACUUGCAACCUGCGGAUCCAGAACUCCAAAAGGUGCGGUGAAACAUCGAGGAUGGUCGAGGUGGCGAUUUCAGUAUAAACGCCGAUGGUGCACUUCGGUUUAGAAACCGAUGGUGUGUGCCGAAAGAUGGAGAGCUUCGCGAAUUGAUUCUACAAGAAGCACACCGAUCUCCGUACGCUGAUCACCCGGGCGGCACCAAAAUGUAUCAAGGACUAAAAAUGCACUAUUGGUGGCCGGGAAUGAAGGGUGAUAUUGGGCGCUUUGUGGCGAAGUGCUUAACGUGCCAGCAAGUGAAAGCAGAGCGUCGGUUUCCAGCGGGAAAGCUUCAAAGCCUACCAAUCCCCGUUUGGAAAUGGUAAGAUGUAUCAAUGGACUUCGUGGUCGGCUUGCCUCGCUCAACGGGCGGCCACGAUGCAAUUUGGGUAAUUGUGGACCGAUUGAUGAAGUCGGCUCACUUCUUGUCGAUCCACACCACGUGGUCGGGUGACAAAUUAGCGCAGGUAUACCUUGACGAGAUAGUGAGACUGCAUGGGGUGCCGAAAUUGAUCGUGUCGGAUCGUGACCCCCGGUUCACUUCACACUUCUGGAAGAGCUUGCAGGAAGCCCUUGACACACGGCUCGAUUUCAGCACUGCGUUUCAUCCUCAGACCGAUGGGCAAACAGAGAGAACCAUUCAAACUCUGGAGGACAUGCUGCGAGCGUGUGUCAUCGACUAUAAGGGAAGUUGGUGUGACCACCUACCUAUGGCGAGUUCGCCUACAACAACAGUUAUCAUGCUAGUGUGGAGAUGGCACCGUUCGAGGCUCUCUAUGGGCGGACGUGCCGGUCUCCUAUACAUUGGAGCGAUGUAGGUGAACGAGCUGAGUUUGGCCCUGAUGUGUUGCGAGAAGCGGAGGAGAAAGUCCGCCUUGCUCGCAAGAGAUUGCUCACGGCGCAGUCGAGACAGCAGAGCUAUGCAGAUAGGCGCCGACGAGAUAUAGAGUUCGCGGUGGGUGACCGAGUAUUCUUGAAGGUCUCACCAAUGAGGGGUGUAAAGCGGUUUGGAGUGCGGGGAAAGCUGAGUCCCCGGUACAUUGGACCCUAUGAAAUAUUAGAGCGAGUAGGCACGGUGGCGUAUCGGCUUGCCUUGCCGCUGAAGCUCGUGGAUGUACACAAUGUGUUCCAUGUCUCCAAUCUCCGCAAGUAUAUUCAUGACCCCGAGCACGCAAUGCUAUAUGAGCCGCCGGAACUUCAAGGAGACUUGAGCUAUGAAGAGUUUCCGGUAGGGGUAACCGCCCGAGAGGUGCGAAAGUUGAGAAAUCGAGAAAUCCCCUAUGUGAAAAUUCGGUGGAGCAAUCAUGAUGAUCGUGAGGCCACCUGGGAACUCGAAGAUCUGAUGAGAAAGCACCACCCUCAUUUGUUCGAGGAGUGAGGUAAGAAUUUAAGUUAAAGUAAGGAAUCAGAUUAGUUUCGAGGACGAAACUCCUUUUAAGGAAGGGAGGAUGUAAGGAAGUGAAUUCUCGAAAUCCGAGAGUUGUACUUCAUCCAGGAUCGACUAAUUGUCGAGAGAAUACCCUUUGGGGAAGUUAAAGAUGUCCAAAACACAAAAAGUGCUUUGGAGUUGAGUCCACGAGAGCUAAUGGUGCAAACAACAUUAUUGGGCUGAUGUUGCUCUCGGGGACCGGUCUCUGGAGGUGAGAGACCGGUUCCAUUAGCUGGGCGUGAGGGGUUGCAAGGUGCAACCGGUCCCUGACAGGGAGGGACCGGUUCCCGAACGUGGUCCCAGCGAGAAAUGCCGAAAUUUGGCUAAGUCCUGAAAAUUGAGCUCUCGGGGACCGGUCUCUCAGGCGAGGACCGGUCUCCCGAGGACCGGUCUCCCGGGGAGAGAUCGGUUCCCGAACGCGUGCACCCGAGGGAGGCUCUCGGGGACCGGUCCCAAGUCGGGGAGACCGGUCCCUCCGCGCGAAAAUUGCCCAGUGAAGGCUGUGCAAGGGGUUAAAAGUUGAGGGACCUAAAUGCAAAAUGGCCUUUAUUAGAGUGGGCUGGGCCCUCUCUCUCCCUCACACUCUCUCAUUCCACUCUCUCUCACUCCUAUUUCUCUCUUGCUCUCUCUCUCUCUAGGAAGGAAAGGAGAAGAAGAAGAACAAGAAGGAGAGGAAGGAAAAGAAGAGGAAGGAAAGGAAUGAGAAGAAGAAGAAGAUCAAGAAGAAGGCCUUGGACACCUUCAUCUCCCUCUUAUCUUCUCUUUGGUGUAGCACAAGAGGUGAGCUCUUGAAUCCUAGCUUUGUAAACUUAGGGCUUUGGGUUUUUAUGCUUUGGAAUGGGUCAAAUGGACCCUAAGCAUGCUUCUAAAUAGAUCAAUCCCAAGAAUCUAGGGUUUUAUUGGUGGUUUGCUAUAUGUGCAACCUAGGGCUCCAAAUGGGGGCGUUUUGUAAAGUAUGAGAUUGAUCUCAUUUGAGGCCUUGUAAACCUAAUCGAUAGGUGCCCAAACGCGGGGGCGAAGUCGAUUUCGCGAUUCGUCGAGCGAGCUUGGAGCUAUCGGCGAAACACGGUCGUUUUGGCACUAUCUUGGAUUAAGGAAGGCUAAAGCCUUUUCGUAAAGCUCGCCGAGGAGCGUUCUUAAAGCCUCUACGUUGAUAAAAGGUGGGGGGUGCCAUCCCGAAGCUUUCGAACUCCUUUCUAUGUCUUAGAUUGCAUUUAAUCUCAUCUCUUCAUGUUGCAUUGUAGGAUUGCAUAGUAGCUCCAUUCCUUAUGCUUUCUAAUUGAUAACCUAGUGUACUUGGAACGCUUGGUAACUUAGAUAGGUGAGGAUUGGGUCGGAACGUGGAUCCUAUGAUGCGAAAGAAAAGAGAUGAACCCGAUGGGGGUAUUGAUGACAUAGAAAGUAGUGUUUAGUGUUAAAGAACACACGAGUGGCAUCCAAAUGUUAAAUGAUGACGAGUGGCAUUAAUGUAGUGUAAAUAACACUAGAGGUCGAUGGACCUAGGGAUAGGUGGAUCCCUUAGAAAAUGCCUUGUGAACAAUGAAUUUAGAAAACUAAAUAGCAUUGCAUGAAUGUCGGGAACCGAUGAUUCCGCGAUAGUCGUUGACCCUAGUGUAGGGCGUCCUCACUUGGAGAGGAUUCGAUUGGGUUAUUGACUCUAGUUGUAGAGCCUCCUCACUUGGAGAGGAUUGGAUUGGGUGUUGACCCUAGUUACAGUGUAUCCUCACAUGGAGAGGAUAGAUCUAGCUCACAGUCUGCGUUUAGGGUGGCAUAGCCAUCCAAUCCCCACAUGGAGGGGAUUGUCGUCGAGUACUCCGGAGUGUCGCGCGACUAGGACCACUUGGAGGUCCGGACCACAUGGAGGUCCGCAGACGGUCCCGGGCUUGGGUGCACUUGGAGCUCCCUCCCCACUUUGGGAUUGAAAGGUGAGUCAUGGGCGAGCCCUAGGGCCUCGCCACAGUUUGGGUAAAUGAAAGGUUAAAGGUUUAAUAAAUGUCAUUGAACAUAGCUAUUCGAACAUGGAUCGAAUUUGUUAGCCUGGUAGCAAACCUUUAUUAUAUGAUGCAUGCAUUCAUAUUCAUGAUUAUGGGCAUAAUAGCAUAGUUUUCCUACUACCGCAUUUACAGCUUUCAGAUAUCUAUCUAUCUAUCUACCUAUUGUUGCUUGUGCCCACUUGGACCUAGUGGGGAGAUCGGCAGAGUCGGCGCCCGAUCCCACUGGGAACUAUGGAAGAUAUUUCUCACCCCACUCUAUUUCCAGUGGUAGGUACAGGGUUACCGAGAGAGGACCGCGGCAAGGGCAUCGCGCCCGAUCUGUGAGACCGUGGUAGUAUAGUAGCUUUCCCUUUUUGCAUUAGUACACCUAUGUAUUGAGAGAGAUUCAUGUAGGUGAGGUUGGAGAGCUAUGUAUUUUGAGGAUCAAUGUAUUCAUUUUGGGAAAAUGAUGUAAAUGUAAAAGAAUGCAACUAUUGUAAUAGUUAGUAAAGUACUCUCUUAUUUCACUCGUAUAUCUCGUGGAUUACUUGCUCUCCUUGUUGUUGGCACUGUUUGUGCCCUCGUUGAAUGUGUAUGUUUAGAAUUUAAAUUCCUGGGUAAAUUCUUGUACACAUUCCUGUUGUUGAGCCUUGGGCGGACAGGAGAGAUGCUGUCCGUUCGGCGGUCCGUCGCCGCGGCCGAAUCGUGCCAAAUUGGUAAUGGUUUCGGGGCGGGGCGUGACAUUACCGGUGCAGGGCGAAGACUUCAUGAUCUAUAGCGACGCUUCCUAUCUAGGAUUGGGGUGUGUUUUGAUGCAGGGCGGGAAAGUAAUUGCUUAUGCAUCCCGUCAGCUGAAGAGCUAUGAAAAGAACUACCCCAUUCACGACUUGAAGCUAGCG